rnacentral:rRNA from 1 species
UACGGGGGGGGCAAGCGUUGUUCGGAAUUACUGGGCGUAAAGGGCUCGUAGGCGGCCAACUAAGUCAGACGUGAAAUCCCCAGGCUCAACCUGGGAACUGCGUCUGAUACUGGAUGGCUUGAAUCCGGGAGAGGGAUGCAGAAUUCCAGGUGUAGCGGUGAAAUGCGUAGAUAUCUGGAGGAAUACCGAUGGCGAAGGCAGGUCUCUGGGCCGAUACUGACGCUGAGGAGCGAAAGCGUGGGGAGCGAACAGG